CCCUUAGAUGUUCUGGGCCGCACGCGCGCUACACUGACAGGGCCAGCGAGUACAUCACCUUAACCGAGAGGUUUGGGUAAUCUUGUUAAACCCUGUCGUGCUGGGGAUAGAGCAUUGCAAUUAUUGCUCUUCAACGAGGAAUGCCUAGUAGGCACGAGUCAUCAGCUCGUGCCGAUUACGUCCCUGCCCUUUGUACACACCGCCCGUCGCUACUACCGAUUGAAUGGCUCAGUGAGGCCUUGGGAUUGGCUUAGGAGGGUUGGCAACGACCCCCCAGAGCCGAAAACUUGGUCAAACUCGGUCAUUUAGAGGAAGUAAAANUCGUAACA
rnacentral:rRNA from 1 species